rnacentral:rRNA from 1 species
AUGUCCUCUUUUCCGAAAAAAGAAUCAGGUGAAGAGAAAGGUCAUGGAAUUUCGCCGUCUUCUAUCUUCCAUGGCGAUGAUGCCGAAAACGAAAGGCCAAGUCGGCCUGCUUGGUUCUGGAAUUAUUGUGGCAAUCCUAUCCAGCCACCGGAAUCUGCACGACAGCAACGGGCAUCCGAUUCUGUGGAGGGCGAGCAGAUGCAGGUCAGUAGCCAAAAAGCAUCAUCCCCUAUCGUCUUCUUCGCCGAAGCAUUGCUGAUAAGGACAUGUUGCAUUAGCGUUUGUCUGUAUCCUAACAAGACCGAGUAA